UCCCUGGUGGUCCAGUGGCUAAGACUCUGUGCUUGCAACGCAAGAGGCCCAAGUUCGAUCCCUGGUCAGGGAA